rnacentral:rRNA from 1 species
GGGGUAAACUGAAAACCGAAAGGUCGAAGGGAGAAAUUCAUUCGCGUUUCGACGUAGGCGUGGGACGGGGUCGAAGCGACGGGACACGUUCUUCGGAGCGGGUUUCGCGCCCUCCGUUCUUCGAACCGGCGGCGAACGCGUGCACUUUUCUCCUGGUAGGACGUCGCGAUCCGUCGGGUGUCGGUCUACGACUUGCGGUGGAGCCCGCCCGUCGUCUCGUACGUACGGACGGACCCGCUCGUUCCGGCCGACUCGCUCGACGGUAUACGUACGGUCGGAGGCCGCUCGUUUUUAGGAGCGUUCGACUCGUCGCAAGCGCGCCACGUGCGUCGGCACGCGGACCCGGUGCCGCGUCCGACCUCUGGUGACUGUUGGCGACGAAGUUCUCGGACAGACCUCAAGACCGAUCGGCGACGCUAUAGCUUUGGGUAAUUUCAGGACCCUUCUUGAAACACGGACCAAGGAGUCUAGCAUGUACGCGAGUCAUUGGGAAUCACUAAACCUAAAGGCGUAAUGAAAGUGAAGGUCUUCCUUGCGGAGACCGAGGGAAGACGGACGGUUACGUUAAACCGCCCUCAAAAGUGGGACCGUCCUGCAUUCCCGGGGCGUCUCGUUCACAUCGCGUGAAGAGGCGCACCAAGAGCGUACACGCUGGGACCCGAAAGAUGGUGAACUAUGCCUGGUCAGGACGAAGUCAGGGGAAACCCUGAUGGAGGUCCGUAGCGAUUCUGACGUGCAAAUCGAUCGUCGGAACUGGGUAUAGGGGCGAAAGACUAAUCGAACCAU